CCCCUCAUUUCUUCCUUCUCUCUUCUCUCUCUCUCUCUCUCUCUACUUUCUCCAGCGUUUGUGGAGCUGCUUGUAAGAAGAACAAAAUUACAGUAAAAAAACGAAGAAAUAAUUAAUUGGAUUAUGAUAGUGAGUUUGUUCGAUGGAUGAAGCAAAGAGGUUUGGAUCUCUCAGUAUUAAUGGCUUCUCUCCUGUUUCUUCCUCUCCUGUUCUCUGGAAAUCCAGAAAAAGAUCAGUAGGCACGAAGAAGAAUCCAGUCAAGACAGUACCAGACGACAAACCGCAAGAAUCUUCCACACUUGAAACAGUUUCGGACACCGAUAAAUCCCCAGAGAAAGUUCUAGAACCUUCUGAAGAGAACAAGAAUCAGGAACCGAACCCUUCCUCAGUUCUCUCCGAAAAACGAAAGGCUCUUUUCGAACCCCUCGAACCACCGAUCAACAUAAACGGGAAACGCCCCUCUGCAGAAACACUGCUUCCGCCUCCCGAUUUCGAGUCCGCCACAUAUCCGCGUGGAUGGCUAAUCGGAAAAAAACGGAAGCUCGUAAAUGUGGAUGUUGUCGAGAGCAUGCGAAGAAUCGCCGUUCAAGAAAUGAAUCGAAAGGAUAGAGAAAUAGAUGGGCUGAACGAGCAGUUGGAAGAGGAUGCUCGAUGUUUGGAGCACAUUCAGCUGCAGUUGCUCGAAGAACGGAGCAAACGUGCUGAUGUGGAGAGGCAGAAUAAUAUGCUGCAAAACCAAAUUAAUAUGCUUAUGGAUAUGUUGCAGGAAAAUGAAGUGAUGGAUGAAGAAGAAGGAACUGAUCAAGGGUUGUAAGCUUCUAUUUAUUAUUGUUGUUAUAUCUAUAUAUAUGUGUGUGUAUUUUUUUAUUUUUUUUAUUAUGUGGUUUAUUCUUUUUUGUAUGUGCAGCAAUAUAUAGAAAGUAUGGGUGUUCUUUUGUUGUAAUUGUAAUGUGUUUUGUUGACCGUUGGAUGAUGUGAUUAAAUAUUUAAAACAGUAUUGAUUUCUUGGUCCGUA